rnacentral:rRNA from 1 species
GGUUCAGACUCUGGCUCAGAUUGAACGCUGGCGGGAUGCUUUACAUGCAAGUCGAACGGCAGCACGGACCGGUCUGGUGGCGAGUGGCGAACGGGUGAGUAAUGUAUCGGAACGUGCCUAGUAGCGGGGGAUAACUACGCGAAAGCGUAGCUAAUACCACGCCGCGCCCUUCGGGGGAAAGCGGGGGGACCUUCGGGCCUCGCGCUAAUAGAGGAAGCGGCCGAUAUCGGAUUAGCUAGUUGGUGGGGUAACGGCUCACCAAGGCGACGAUCCGUAGCUGGUUUGAGAGGACCAGCCACACUGGGACUGAGACACGGCCCAGACUCCGGGAGGCAGCAGUGGGGAAUUUUGGACAAUGGGGAAACCCUGAUCCAGCCAUCCCGCGUGUGCGAUGAAGGCCUUCGGGUUGUAAAGCACUUUUGGCAGGAAGAAACGGCACGGGAUAAUACCCCGUGCAACUGACAUUACCUGCAGAAUAAGCACCGGCCUUACGUGCCAGCAGCCGCGGUAAUACGUAGGGUGCAAGCGUUAAUCGGAAUUACUGGGCGUAAAGCGUGCGCGAACGGUUCGGAAGAAAGAUGUGAAAUCCCAGAGCUUAACUUUGGAACUGCAUUUUUUUUUUUUUUUUUUUUUUUUUUUUUUUUAACUACCGAGCUAGAGUGUGUCAGAGGGAGGUGGAAUUCCGCGUGUAGCAGUGAAAUGCGUAGAUAUGCGGAGGAACACCGAUGGCGAAGGCAACCUCCUGGGAUGCUACUGACGCUCACAUGCACGAAAAGCGUGGGGAGCAAACAGGAUUAGAUGCCCUGGUAGUCCACGCCCUAAACGAUGUCAACUAGCUGUUGGGGCCUUCCGGGCCUUGGUAGCGCAGCUAGCGCGUGAAGUUGACCGCCUGGGAAGUACCGGUCGCAAGAUUAAAACUCAAAGGAAUUGACGGGGACCCGCACAAGCGGUGGAUGAUGUGGAUUAAUUCGAUGCAACGCGAAAAACCUUACCUACCCUUGACAUCUCUGGAAUCCCGAAGAGAUUUGGGAGUGCUCGCAAGAGAACCGGAACACAGGUGCUGCAUGGCUGUCGUCAGCUCGUGUCGUGAGAUGUUGGGUUAAGUCCCGCAACAGGCGCAACCCUUGUCAUUAGUUGCUACGAGAAAGGGCACUCUAAUGAGACUGCCGGUGACAAACCGGAGGAAGACAAGGGAUGACGUCAAGUCCUCAUGGCCCUUAUGGGUAGGGCUUCACACGUCAUACAAUGGUCGGGACAGAGGGUCGCCAACCCGCGAGGGGAGCCAAUCCCAGAAACCCGAUCGUAGUCCGGAUCGCAGUCUGCAACUCGACUGCGUGAAGUCAGAAUCGCUAGUAAUCGCGGAUCAGCAUGUCGCGGUGAAUACGUUCCCGGGUCUUGUACGCACCGCCCGUCACACCAUGGGAGUGGGUUUUACCAGAAGUAGUUAGCCUAACCGUAAGGAGGGCGAUUACCACGGUAGGAUUCAUGACUGGGGUGAAGUCGUAACUGGGUA